rnacentral:lncRNA from 1 species
GGAAAAUCUUAUUUUCCUUUCUAUUGAGAGAAGAGGAGGUUAUGGGGGCAGAGAGAGAGAGCAUUAAAUACUCACAGUUAAUCCUCCUCUCAGCUCCUGUGUAGGGUGUGUAUAUGUGUGCACACAUGCCAGAAAUCUAGGAAACCUUUUUGAUGAUUCUGCCUCCUCAUCCAAUCAAUCACCAUGCCUAUUAAUUGAUUCUAAGACAUUUUUCCAAACUGUGCUUCAAUGAAAAGCCUUCCCUGUCCUCAAACCAGAUUUCUCCCAGCCUCACCCAUAGCUUCCCACAGCACCCUCUACAGCUUCUUUAAAGUAUUCAUGACAG